AGCUCGUGUCGUGAGAUGUUGGGUUAAGUCCCGCAACGAGCGCAACCCUCGACCUUAGUUGCCAGCAUUCAGUUGGGCACUCUAAGGUGACUGCCGGCUAAAAGUCGGAGGAAGGUGGGGAUGACGUCAAACCAUCAUGCCCCUUAUGACCUGGGCUACACACGUGCUACAAUGGGCGGUACAAAGGGUCGCGAACCCGCGAGGGGGAGCCAAUCCCAAAAAAGCCGCUCUCAGUUCGGAUUGCAGGCUGCAACUCGCCUGCAUGAAGCCGGAAUCGCUAGUAAUCGCGGAUCAGCAUGCCGCGGUCGAAUACGUUCCCGGGCCUU
rnacentral:rRNA from 1 species